rnacentral:rRNA from 1 species
UACGUAGGGUGCGAGCGUUAAUCAGAAUUACUGGGCGUAAAGCGUGCGCAGGCGGUGAUGUAAGACAGUUGUGAAAUCCCCGGGCUUAACCUGGGAAUGGCAUUUGGGACUGCAAGGCUUGAGUGCGGCAGAGGAGACUGGAAUUCCUGGUGUAGCAGUGAAAUGCGUAGAUAUCAGGAGGAAUACCGAUGGCGAAGGCAGGUCUCUGGGCUGACACUGACGCUCAUGCACGAAAGCGUGGGGAGCAAACAGG